rnacentral:rRNA from 1 species
AACGUAGGAGACAAACGUUAUCCGGAGUUACUGGGCGUAAAGGGCGUGUAGGUGGUUUCGUAAGUCUGGCGUGAAAUUUUUCGGCUUAACCGGGAAAGGUCGUCGGAUACUGCGGAACUAGAGGACGGUAGAGGCGUGGUGGAAUUCCGGGUGUAGUGGUGAAAUGCGUAGAGAUCCGGAGGAACACCAGGUGGCGAAGGCGACACGCUGGGCCGUACCUGACACUGAUGCGCGACAGCAUGGGGAGCAAACAGGG